rnacentral:rRNA from 1 species
UACGGAGGUGGCGAGCGUUGUUCGGAAUCACUGGGCUUAAAGCGCGUGUAGGCGGAAUGCCAGGCGUCGUGUGAAAGCCCCGGUCUCAACCCGGGAACUGCGCGGCGAACCGGUUUUCUUGAGGCAGGUAGAGGUGACUGGAACGACGGGUGGAGCGGUGAAAUGCGUAGAUAUCCGUUGGAACGCCGGCGGCGAAAGCGAGUCACUGGACCUGUCCUGACGCUGAGACGCGAAAGCGUGGGUAGCAAACAGG